UACGGGGGGGGGCAAGCGUUGUUCGGAAUUACUGGGCGUAAAGGGCUCGUAGGCGGCCAACUAAGUCAGACGUGAAAUCCCUCGGCUUAACCGGGGAACUGCGUCUGAUACUGGAUGGCUAGAGUUUGGGAGAGGGAUGCGGAAUUCCAGGUGUAGCGGUGAAAUGCGUAGAUAUCUGGAGGAACACCAAUGGCGAAGGCAGCUCGCUGGGACGUGACUGACGCUGAGACGCGAAAAGCGUGGGGGAGCAAACAGG
rnacentral:rRNA from 1 species